rnacentral:tRNA from 1 species
UGCGGGGUGGAGCAGAGGCAGCUCGCCAGGCUCAUAACCUGGAGGUCAGAGGUUCGAAUCCUCUCCCCGCUA